GACGAACGCUGGCGGCGUGCCUAAUACAUGCAAGUCGAGCGCAGGAAACUGACGGAACUCUUCGGAGGGAAGGCAGUGGAAUGAGCGGCGGACGGGUGAGUAACACGUAAGGAACCUGCCUCAAGGAUUGGGAUAACUCCGAGAAAUCGGAGCUAAUACCGGAUAGUUCAACGGACCGCAUGGUCCGCUGAUGAAAGGCACUUCGGCGUCACCUUGAGAUGGCCUUGCGGUGCAUUAGCUAGUUGGUGGGGUAACGGCCCACCAAGGCGACGAGGCAUAGCAGACAUGAGAGGGUGAUCGGCCACACUGGGAAGGAGACACGGCCCAAACUCCUACGGGAGGCAGCAGUAGGGAAUCUUCCACAAUGGACGAAAGUCUGAUGGAGCAACGCCGCGUGAGUGAUGAAGGUUUUCGGAUCGUAAAACUCUGUUGUAAGGGAAGAACACGUACGAGAGGGAAUGCUCGUACCUUGACGGUACCUUACGAGAAAGCCACGGCUAACUACGUGCCAGCAGCCGCGGUAA
rnacentral:rRNA from 1 species